UAUUGGACAAUGGGCGCAAGCCUGAUCCAGCAAUACCGCGUGUGUGAAGAAGGCCUUAGGGUUGUAAAGCACUUUCAAUUGGGAGGAAAACCUGCCGGUCAAUACCCGGUAGCUUGACAUUACCUUUAGAAGAAGCACCGGCUAACUCCGUGCCAGCAGCCGCGGUAAUACGGAGGGUGCGAGCGUUAAUCGGUAUUACUGGGCGUAAAGCGUGCGUAGGCGGUUCGUUAAGUCAGAUGUGAAAGCCCUGGGCUCAACCUGGGAACUGCAUUUGAAACUGGCGGACUAGAGUUUAGUAGAGGGGAGUGGAAUUUCAGGUGUAGCGGUGAAAUGCGUAGAUAUCUGAAGGAACACCAGUGGCGAAGGCGACUCCCUGGACUAGAACUGACGCUGAGUACGAAA
rnacentral:rRNA from 1 species